GCAUAGAUGUGUGUGUGUGUGUGUGUGUGUGUGUGUGUGUGUGUGUGUGUGUUUCUUCUUCCACCCAUACAUCCUGGGUUUGAGCUGACCUGGUUCCAAAAAGAUUCUAAAAAAGAGCGUGGUCAGCUUUGAGACUCAAAUCUUCGUUUCACUAAUGCUUGCCAAGCCCGGCUAACAAGCAAAUGUCCUUUAAUAGAUGAGUUAUUCUUUCCGCCUUCUGCAUCUGCUUUAAGGAGCUUUGUAGAUACGAUUGGCUGUGGAUUUGGGCCGGAUCAGGGCUGUUUCUGCAAUCUAUUUCCCUAAUCCCACUUUAAUUUUAUUCAUCUUUUUUUUUAGACUAUUAAAGAUAAUUUAAUUGAUCUCACCUCUUAUUUGGUUUGGAUACGUGAAAUCCCAUCAAGUUAAAGGAUCACGAGGAAGUCUCUCCCUUAAGGUUCAUGGAGACUCAAGACAAACAAGGUGUUGCUGGUACGAAUGCACACGUCUGCAAAUCUCAGGAAGCUCGGUGUCUGAUGAGGCAUUGAUCCUUACACCGAAUGGACAUGAGACUACGGAAACGGCUGCCACAGGGAAAAGCAUCAGGCCGUGGCUUCUUAGGUCUGAGAAUCUGCUGACACUGCGUUCCUGAGGGAAGAAAGUGCUACUGACUGAAUAAACCUGGGGUUUUAGGGGAGGAAGAUUCUGAGCCAGAAUUAGAGGCGUCGGUGGUCCGAUCACAGUAACACAAAGGCUGACGGCAGAGGGCGUGGCUGGAUUGUAUGACCCCCAGGAACCUGGGACAGGCGGUUCUAGGAGGUAAGAGCAAGAAUCAUAACAAUGUGGGUAUACCUGUCCAUAAGGUAAGAGCGAUGUAAGAACAAGCACUUCCACUGCUGAGAGCUGCUGCAUCCUCUGAAGAUAGAAAAAUUCGCACUUAAGCAAGGGGGUGAGAUGGUUUUGUAAAGAGCAGGAAGAUAUAGGAAAGGUACUUAACCCAUUAUUAACUGUUCCUAUGUCUGUUACUUGGCUCUGACACCUGAACCAGAAAUUCCAUAUGCCACAGGGUGGCAAAAAAGAAUGAUAUCCUUAGAAGCAAUGUAUAUCCAAUAUAUUAACCCAAAAAAGGCAGCUAUCCUUAUUAUGAGGGCAAGAAGAGAUGGAAAGACAGCCCAGGUAUGAGAAAAUGACUUCCGGCCCUUCUCCAGGCAAGUAGCAAAUUGCAAAGGAGAUGGCCGUGAAGAUGACAGUCUCACGGGAGACUGGAAAAGGUUAAAUACCUCCAAGGGAACAAAGGUUUGUGGCUGUUCACCAGUAGCUGUCCUUAGUCUUCCUCAG
rnacentral:lncRNA from 9 species